GCAGCGCUGUUCGAUUGGACAGGAACGCGCCCGUCACCGCGCUGUGGGGCCGCCUCGGCCCCGCCCCUCGCUGCCGUGCCUGAGGGCUUGGCCGGGCGAGGCGGCGGGGGCGAGCUGAGGGUCCCUCAGUGCCCGCCCCGCGCCCCCGGCCCGCGCCUCUUCCCGGCCGAUCACCGCCUCCGGCCGUCCCCGCCGCCUUUGUCUCCUUCCUAGAGCCCCCGGCUGAUGGGGCAGCGCGGGACGCGGAUCCAGGCGCUGCGGUCCGCCCCGAGCGGCGCGGCCGGCGUGUCCCGGCUGCGAGGGCCACGGCAGCGGGAGUCAGCGAGGUCUCAGGGGCCUCGGAGAGCCGUGAGACCGCUCCUACCAUCCACAGCUGGCCCUCGGCCCCGAGCGAGAAGCUGGUGCUGGCUCAGGUGGCCGAUGGGGCGCGAUGUCCGGCGGUGGGAGCCAGCAGCGCCCUUGGCGUGCUCGCUGCGGGCUGGGUGAGCUGCAGACCUGCCUGGGCAGCCGGCACUGUCGUGCCUGCAAGUCUGCUGGCAAAUGGCAGGGCUGGUCUGCUUCCUUCUUCACAGCUAUGUGGGUGCACAUGGCUACAGAAGCCCCUGCCUGUCUGCACAGAAUCACAGAAGCGUGGAACAGCCCAGGCUGGAAGGGAGCUGUACAGAUCAUUGGUCCAACUUUUGUGGGAGGCAGCCUAGAUGGGAUUCUAGAGCACCCUGGCAGCUUGGAAACCUCCUGUGACAGGGACUCUGCCCCCACAUCCCUGCGUUUCAGUCAUUGGUUGUUCUCAUGUUAAAGAAAAUUUAUCUUGUGCCUUGUUUUCUCCAUGUGGCCCUUUGUGAGGAGAGCCUGCACUCUGCAGCACUCUGGUAUAUUGAGAUUAGCCUCCUGCCUCCAAGCCUUCUCUCCUCCAGGGAGAUAAGAUAUAACUCCGUCAGUCUUUCCUCACAGAGCAGGUUGUCCUAGCCUCUCCGUUUAGUGGAAUCAGCAACCUGGGUGCGGGCGCUUUCAAAUCCAUCACCCAAGUCGUUGUGAAGAUGGACCGCGUGGAGCCCAGUGGCAAUCUCAGGGAGACCCUACUUGCAACAGGCUGCCACCCUGAAUUAAAAACAUUGGUCAGGACCCUCUGAGUGCAGCCUCUUGGCCGAUUUUCUACCCCUCUUGCAAACCACCCUGCAAACACAGUCUGUGUCUCACCACUUAGUCCAAGAGAAGGCUUCCUCAUCAGUGGAAGCAGAGUGAGAAGCCUUCCAAUGUAGUUGCUGAAUUGUCAUCAUCUAUGUAAGAGUUGGAUGCCUCCAGUGACAUAUGGAUGUGCUGCACACAUUGCCUGUGCCCUGUGCAAGGUCAAGUGCUUGGAAAGAAGCCCAAACAGCUUCCUGGGUCAGGAAAUGUGGACACACAGUGAGCAGGACAUCGGGGUGAUGGAGAGAAAAGAGGACUGACCCACGUGGCAUGCUGGGGAUGAAGUAGCAGCACUGGACUGUUUUGCUUGCUGUGGUAGGAAGGUAAAUUGGUGAUGGAUUUUGAUCUGACUGGUACGCUAGGAUGUCUACAGGGUGAGGCUGGGUACAGUACAGAGGUUUCCCCACUUUUGUGCUGGCUGGAGAUGCAACACUCCAGAGCACAAACUUGUCUUUGCUCGAGUUCCCAGAGUGGUUUAAUGCACAUUACACAGCAUGAAUACUUUGUAAGACCAAAGCAGGUCUGCUUACUGAUGUCCUUGUGCUUGAUGUGGUACAUGAGGAUUGGUUGCAUUGAUUAGCACUAAAA